rnacentral:rRNA from 1 species
GAUGAACGCUGGCGGCGUGCCUAAUACAUGCAAGUCGAGCGAACAGACGAGGAGCUUGCUCCUCUGACGUUAGCGGCGGACGGGUGAGUAACACGUGGAUAACCUACCUAUAAGACUGGGAUAACUUCGGGAAACCGGAGCUAAUACCGGAUAAUAUAUUGAACCGCAUGGUUCAAUAGUGAAAGACGGUUUUGCUGUCCCUUAUAGAUGGAUCCGCGCCGCAUUAGCUAGUUGGUAAGGUAACGGCUUACCAAGGCAACGAUGCGUAGCCGACCUGAGAGGGUGAUCGGCCACACUGGAACUGAGACACGGUCCAGACUCCUACGGGAGGCAGCAGUAGGGAAUAUUCCGCAAUGGGCGAAAGCCUGACGGAGCAACGCCGCGUGAGUGAUGAAGGUCUUCGGAUCGUAAAACUCUGUUAUUAGGGAAGAACAAAUGUGUAAGUAACUAUGCACGUCUUGACGGUACCUAAUCAGAAAGCCACGGCUAACUACGUG